AGGGUUAAUGUUUUGUUCAUUAACACAUUUUACUGGAGCUGCUGGGGUAUUCCUGACAAAACUUCCUGAAACCUUCAGUUUCAAUGUUAAGUUAGAAAAAAAAAUGAUUUACGGAAAUGCGAUACAAAUAUGUUAAUAUUUAUAGUAUGAAAAUAUAAUGUAUUCCGGUGCCUUCCUAGAUUAAAUAUUAAUCAUAGAAAAUGUAUCCACUACAAGAACACGAUGAACAAAUAAGUUACCAUGGAGAUGCUUUAUAAGGUGUUGUGUGUCUGAGUUGAGGAAACAUGCCACCACCAAAAUCAGGUGUUCUGUUUGGGGAGGACACAGAGGCAGAUGAAAUAUGUAGAGUUACUAAACUGGAAAUGAUAAGCGUGUGAGAUUUAGCCAUGUAUUUUUGAAGUAUUCUUAUUUACAUUUACACUAUGUCAUGGGAAAAUGUCUUUUGAUGGUAAGUUUCAAAUAAAGAUUAUGCAUUUAGUCAAAUGUGAAACAAGCAUAGAAAGAACUUUCCACCUCCCUCAGAAAGUUUAAGAAGGUAACAUUUAGCGACAAUUGCUGACUUGUACUUUCAUUUAAUGUAAACAGCAUGCUGUUUGACAUGAUGUUACACAGUACUCAAAAGGCUGCAUUGGUAAAACAUAGUGACAGCACUACCCACUGAUCAGUGUGGUCAUGUGUGUUUGUAGCCACCUCUGGUUGUAGGGUCUGUCCUGAUGGGUGGGCUCACAACAGUGGGAAGUGCUACCUCUUCUCCUCCACUAGAAAGACCUGGAGUCAGAGUCGAGAUCACUGCAUCACAUUAGGGGGGCAUCUGGCCAUUGUGAACAGUCAAGAGGAACAGUAUUUUCUAUCCAAAAGAGCCAUUGAGGAUUUCUACUGGAUGGGACUGAGUGACCUGGAGACAGAGGGACAGUGGAUUUGGGUGGACAGCACACCUCUCAGUGAGACUGGAGCAGUAUUCUGGAAGAAAGGGUCUGAUGGACAGGGUGAACCAG